UAACUAAUGAUGAAAAUGUCAGAAACA
rnacentral:piRNA from 1 species